AAUAUUAAUUUAUUUUGUCUUUCUAUAGCGCUAAAUUCCAUACACCAAGUGCAUGCUCGAAGCGCAUACAAACAGACAGUUCAUUAUUACCCCGGAUAACCCAAGCUGCCUGUGAG